rnacentral:rRNA from 1 species
AGGUCUCCGUAGGUGAACCUGCGGAGGGAUCAUUACUGAGAGAGGGCUCCGGCCCGACCUCCAACCCUUUGUGAACCAACCUGUUGCUUCGGGGGCGACCCUGCCGUCCGCGGCGCGGCGCCCCCGGAGGCUCUCAAACACUGCGUUAAUUACGUCGGAGUCUCAAGUAAAUUGAACAAAACUUUCAACAACGGAUCUCUUGGUUCUGGCAUCGAUGAAGAACGCAGCGAAAUGCGAUAAGUAAUGUGAAUUGCAGAAUUCAGUGAAUCAUCGAAUCUUUGAACGCACAUUGCGCCCCCUGGUAUUCCGGGGGGCAUGCCUGUUCGAGCGUCAUUUCACCACUCAAGCCUGGCUUGGUAUUGGGCGCCGCGUGUACCGCGCGCCUUAAAGUCUCCGGCUGAGCUGUCCGUCUCCUAGCGUUGUGAUACAUAUUCGCUACGGGUGCCGGGCGGCCGCGGCCGUUAAACUUCUUUCAAGGUUGACCUCGGAUCAGGUAGGGAUACCCGCUGAACUUAAGCAUAUCAAUAAGCGGAGGAAAAGAAACCAACAGGGAUUGCCCU